rnacentral:rRNA from 1 species
GAUGAACGCUGGCGGCGUGCCUAAUACAUGCAAGUCGAGCGAACGGACGAGAAGCUUGCUUCUCUGAUGUUAGCGGCGGACGGGUGAGUAACACGUGGAUAACCUACCUAUAAGACUGGGAUAACUUCGGGAAACCGGAGCUAAUACCGGAUAAUAUUUUGAACCGCAUGGUUCAAAAGUGAAAGACGGUCUUGCUGUCACUUAUAGAUGGAUCCGCGCUGCAUUAGCUAGUUGGUAAGGUAACGGCUUACCAAGGCAACGAUGCAUAGCCGACCUGAGAGGGUGAUCGGCCACACUGGAGCUGAGACACGGUCCAGACUCCUAAGGGAGGCAGCAGUAGGGAAUCUUCCGCAAUGGGCGAAAGCCUGACGGAGCAAAGCCGCGUGAGUGAUGAAGGUCUUCGGAUCGUAAAACUCUGUCAUUAGGGAAGAACAUAUGUGUAAGUAACUGUGCACAUCUUGACGGUACCUAAUCAGAAAGCCACGGCUAACUACGUG